AGUUGUGAUGAAAUGGUUUUAUUUACAAGAGACUUGAUGGGGACCGUGAAAUAGUAAAAAAUCAAACAAUCUGAAUAAGUGGUCAAGACAUGAAAAUGAAGUUUAUUUGGAUUAAAGCCGCAAAAAAAAAAAA